AACUGUCAAUUUAUCUAUUUUAAUCUUCAAAUGUUGUUAAUUAGAGUUUUGAUGUUUUUUGUGUUUGUGUUGCAGGGAUUCGUCGAUUGAAGGAAAGCUUGGGUUGUUAAUUAGGAUUUUAAUGCUUUUUGGGUUUGUGUGGGAGGGAUUCGUCAAUUAAAGGAAAUCUUGGGAUUUUGAUACAGUGGGUUGCAAACAGAUUCAAUUUAGGGUUUCAUCGAUUGAAAUAAAGCUUGGGUAUUUCAAAUACGAUUUCAAAAUGAUAUAUAAUCAAAUACGAUUCAUAGUUUGUUGUACGGCAGCGAAGAUGGAGAAUUGGUAAACCCGCGUCGAUUGAAGCUGUGUCUCUGGUGGUUAUUUGCCGCCAUUGGAGACGUUUCAGUAGAUGGUUACAAUGGAUUUGAUGUUGGUUCUUGGAAUGGAAGGAGAAGAUCUGAUGCCGCGAAUGGGUUUUCACCUGGAAUUGAAUUCCAAUGAGUCGAGUACGAGUUUGAGAUGGGACUUCGACUCUCGAUAAACCAUAAAAUCCUAUUCCGUAUGUUGGUUGUCUGCCCUUCUAUAAUCGAAUGUGCCUUUCUUUUACUUGAUAUAUUGACGAGGAUGGAGUGAGAGAAAUAGCCUGAGUUAACUAUAAAGGAGAGGUGCUCCUUUUCAGAUGAUCCAUUGAUAAUCAACCCAUUUGCAGCAUAAUAGUGAGGCUUUUAUACAGUGGUAAGAACCAUUAUGAUACUCCAUGAGAGUUUGUUAAAUGUAUUUAGAAAAACUGUAUUCUUUGUUUGGAAAUGUGUACUUAAAUUACAAUGAACUCCAUAAUUAGAACUGCAUUACAAGUUUAAACAAUGCCAGUAAGGAUCUUGGCCUAAUGAUAUAGAUUAAUAAAGAAUCAACUCAGCAGCAAGUGAAGCUGCUUGCAACAAGCAUAUCCAGUGCUCUAAGAAAAAGAUUGAUCUUGGAUUUAAAAUCAGAACGGGCAUAAUGGUUCAUGCUACCUACUAUGGAAUCGGAAAUGAUAAUUUGGGGAACAAGGAUGGAGCUGAUGUUGAAGACAAUGAUAUUGGAAUAGGAAACACCUCUACAGUUUAUAAGAUCGGUGGUAGUGGCUACAAUGAGGUAGAAUCAACGCAUCUGAAGUUUAUGUGAAUGGUGUUAAGUGGAGAACUCCAUUAUUGGGUAAAUGAAUGAUGAAAAUGGUGGUAAUGAUUUAACUUAAAUUACAGAUGAUGUUCAUGCUGCGGAAGUAAUUUUGGAAAGGCUGAGAGAGGUGUGGAUUCCACUAUAGCUAAGAAUGUAUUGAUGACAUCAACAUUGAUGUUGUAAGUUGUUUGUUAUUGUUGUAAGUUGUUUGUUUUGAAAACUGAAAAGAAACUCAAUGUUUGGUAGAUGCCUGCCCUGUCCUGAAAUUCUUUUGGAUAAUACUUGAUAAGUAAUAAUUCAUAUAUGAAAUGUUACCUAGCUUGGGUGGAAACCAUUUUGAUUUCA